rnacentral:rRNA from 1 species
AGCUUUAGGGCUAGCCUCGAUCGAACAUUACCGGAGGUAGAGCACUGAAUGAGCUAGGGGCCGAGAGGUUACUGAACCUUAUCAAACUCCGAAUGCCGGAUAAUGAUGAUCGGGAGUCAGACUGCGGGAGAUAAGUUUCGUAGUCAAAAGGGAAACAGCCCAGACCCACAGCUAAGGUCCCGAAGUACAGUUAAGUGGAAAAGGAUGUGGGGUUGCAUAGACAACCAGGAUGUUGGCUUAGAAGCAGCCACUCAUUAAAAGAGUGCGUAAUAGCUCACUGGUCGAGUGACUCUGCGCCGAAAAUUUAACGGGGCUAAAUCGUACACCGAAGCUUGGGAAUAUCAGUUAUUCUUCAUGGACUUGCUAAGGUAAGACGCCAUGGCACGAAGUGCCAUCAAAUUGUCCGGAAGGAUAAAGCGAGGUUGUGAAGAAUAACUGAUAUUGGUAGGAGAGCGUUGAAUGCGGGGUGAAGUCAGAGCGAAAGCGCUGGUGGACUGCAUUGAAGUGAGAAUGCCGGAAUGAGUAGCGAGAUUUAUGUGAGAAUCAUAAAGGCCGAAAGACUAAGGUUUCAGAAGGAAGGUUCGUCCGCUUCUGGUUAGCCGGGAGCUAAGGUGAGGCCGAAAGGCGUAGCCGAUGCACAUACGGUGGAGAUUCCGUAGCCGUCGAAAUAUUUAAGCAAAGGGACACUUAUGAAGGGCAUGACCCGGGCGAUGGUAGCCCCGGGCGUAAGGGACCGAAAACAAGUAGGGAAGCAUGUUUGGAUUAAGGCGAGAAAAGCUUUGUGUAUAUAUUAGACGUCCGUACCGCAAACCGACACAGGUAGUCAGGAAGAGGAUUCUAAGGCCAACGGGAGAAGGGUAGUUAAGGAACUCGGCAAAUUGACCCCGUAACUUCGGGAUAAGGGGCGGUGCGUAAGCACCCGCAGUGAAUAGGUCCAGGCGACUGUUUAUCAAAAACACAGCUCUCUGCUAAAUCGAAAGAUGACGUAUAGGGGGUGACACCUGCCCGGUGCUGGAAGGUUAAGAGGAGGAGUGCAAGCUCCGAAUUGAAGCCCCAGUAAACGGCGGCCGUAACUAUAACGGUCCUAAGGUAGCGAAAUUCCUUGUCAGGUAAGUUCUGACCCGCACGAAUGGUGUAACGAUCUGGACGCUGUCUCAAUUACCCACCCGGCGAAAUUGUAGUACCGGUGAAGAUGCCGGUUACCCGCAGCAGGACGGAAAGACCCCAUGGAGCUUUACUGUAGCCUGAUAUUGGGUUUCGGUAAUCUAUGUACAGGAUAGGCGGGAGACUUGGAAGCGUGAGCGUCAGCUUACGUGGAGUCAUUGUUGGGAUACCGCCCUUAGGUUUCUGGAAUUCUAACCUGCGGCCGUGAAUCCGGUCGGGGGACAUUGUCAGGUGGGCAGUUUGACUGGGGCGGUCGCCUCCUAAAAGGUAACGGAGGCGCUCAAAGGUUAGCUCAGCACGGACGGAAACCGUGCCUCUGAGUGUAAACGCAAAAGCUAGCCUAACUGCGAGGGUGACGGCCCGAGCAGUAACGAAAGUUGGAGUUAGUGAUCCGGCGGUAUGUGAAUGGAAAUGCCGUCGCUCAACGGAUAAAAGCUACCCUGGGGAUAACAGGCUGAUCUCCCCCAAGAGUCCACAUCGACGGGGAGGUUUGGCACCUCGAUGUCGGCUCAUCACAUCCUGGGGCUGUAGUAGGUCCCAAGGGUUGGGCUGUUCGCCCAUUAAAGUGGUACGCGAGCUGGGUUCAGAACGUCGUGAGACAGUUCGGUCCCUAUCCGUCGCAGGCGUAGGAAAUUUGAGAAGACCUGUCCUUAGUACGAGAGGACCGGGAUGGACGUACCUCUGGUGUACCAGUUGUUCUGCCAAGGGCAUGGCUGGGUAGCUAAGUACGGAAAGGAUAAGCGCUGAAAGCAUCUAAGCGCGAAGCCUACUUCAAGAUAAGAUUUCCCACCGUAAGGUUAAGACCCCAUGAAGACUACAUGGUUGA